UGAUGAAUACCAUAUCCCUGUGAUCCAGUCACCUCCCCAAAUCCCUAAAGCAUGAGGCUUUAGGGGGACAUUCUGAUACAAAACAUAACACUGGUCUUCCUGUAUUGUUUUAUCUGUGGUCUUUCACACUAUCACCAGAUACUGCUUUCUACUAUGUAAGUCUUAGGAAGUUUACCCACUGUGUAAAAUAUUUGUAAUGAUGCCUGUCACCUACAGUGUAAAAAUACGAACUCCUUUCCAUGAGACAAAGUAAUUUAAUUAGAAAAAAUAUAACUAGAAAAUAGUUACAGCAGCAACAGAAGUAGCAGUUAAAUGCAUGCUGAGCAUUUAAAAUAUAUUUUUAUAUUAACUUCUGAAACUUUAAUAUCUUCUUACAGGGUAGGAAAUGCUAAUAGAUGUAUAUGUUUAGAGGCUGUGCUUUUACUAGUUUAGAAAAGGGAAGUUGAGUGUACCAGAGGCCAACUUCACCAAAUGCUUGGUCAUUUCAUGUCAAAUGACAAAUAACGUGGGUCGAUAAAAGGGACAGUUUCAGUGAAGGAAGUAACAAGCAAAACUAGAUAGUUUGCUGGGAUUGCCACACAAAGUACCAUAGACUUGGAAUUUAAAUAAAAAUUUCUUCAGUUCUAGAGGCUAGAAGUCAAAUAUGGCUACCUUUUUCCCGUGUCUUCACAGGGUUGUCUCUUUAUGUCUAUAUGUGUCCUAACUCCUUAUUUUUAUUUAUUUCUGUGGUACUGUGUAGUGAACCAAGGGCUUUCACACUGAACUAUACCCAGUCCUGUCUUUGUUUUUGUAUUUGUUUUGUUUUUUUAUUUUUGAGACAGUCACUAAGUUGCAUGCCCUCAUCUAGAAUUUUAAAUCCUCCACCUUUCCCUUCUGUGCUGAGAUUAUAGGCAUAUGCCCCAAUGGCUGGCUUCCUCAGUCCUUACGGGGACACUAGUCAUUGGAUUUAGGGUCACUUAUGCAACUUUAUUUUACCUUAAUUAAAUCUUUAUAAGCCCGUGUCCAAAUACAGUGACAUUAUGAGACAUUGGAAAUUAGGAUUUCAACAUAAUGAAUUUGGGAGGUGAGUGCAUACUGAAUUCAGUCACAUCAGAGGUAUAGGCAGAAAUGAGUAUGAGCCACUGACUGGAAUCAGAAUGGACUGAUGGGAUUUAUGUAGAUUAGGGUGUUAGGAUUUUGAAAUGUUUUAAAUGCCAGGCUGAGGAAUUCACAUGAUGGUUUUAAAUAAAUCAUGCCUAAUCCAGCCCAUUCCCAGUGCUUAGUUAGUACCCUAGGAGGAUGAAAAAUCACAUUAGACUAGUUUGUACUGCAUCUCUACACUUUGUGUCAUAUCCAUUCCUGUCACCUGACAUGACUGUUCUUAUCCUGUCAAAAUAAUUAGUUAUAUAUCUUACAAAUCAUUUCAUAAUUAAAAUGCCAUGUAUGUUUUUAAUCAUCUAAGUCAAUUUAAUACAAUAAACUAUUUCCCUAUAUCAUGUAGAAGCAGCAACAAAACACUUAUGCUCUGCUUUCUGAGGUACUGUGGACCCUCAAGUUCCGACCAGCCUCAUGUAAAAACAACUUGGAUUACAACCAGAAUUUUAGGUUUAAUUUACGACCAAAGUGUUGAAUUACAAGUGGACCGCUGGCCGCUUGUGCAGUUGUAAACAAAGAUUUGCGAUGCCAGAAAAGUGUAUAUAAGUGUAUGUAAGCAUCAGUCUGAGUCCAGAUACCUAAUGUUUUUACCCUUCCAAACAUUAACCACCUUCCAUUUUAUCCUCCUUCAUGCCAGCCAAAGAUGUCAAUUUGAUUGGAUAUUGCCAAGGAUACACAUGAACAGCCAGAUGGAAGAGGUAUGUAAGAAAGGACAUGGAAAUUUCAUGUCUUCUUCAGGUGUGCCGCCUCAUAGGUGUCUCCGUGUGUUCAGUUACUGAGAAGCUCUCUGAAUCCAGUUUCUUUAAGGUUUUUAUGGAAACAUCAAAGCAUAAACAUGAUUGGUGACAUCACUGACCAUUGAUCAGAGUAAGCGCCAAAGAUUCAGCGGGGAGAGUCCUGAAAAUUCCAACCCUCUAAUCACGUGACUGGGUUCCCCCUGGCAGCCAGCUCCUAACCUGAAUCUAUAGAAGCCCACCAGGAGUGACCUCAGUAGAACAUAAGAUUUUUGAACAGGAAAUUCUGGGAGAUUUAGGAGCUCUGUACCAGAAUCCAGAGACAAAAAUCAACCAUAAAUAUAUCUAUGUAGAUUAUUACCCAUUGUGAUUAACAUAUUGUCACUUAGUUCUCAGUGAUGGGGUGUAGUAUAAUCAUGUCAUUCCCCAGUCUUGUUGUAUGCCAUGUGUAUGAACCAGAUCUUUUAUAGUUCAACAAAGGGGGUAUACAUAAUUUGUAUGCCAGGCAGCUCUGAGCUGUUGGUGGUACAUGCAUGACUGUCCAUUGAGCCGCAUGACAGUCCCAUCGAGCCGCAUGACAGUCCCAUCAGGUGGUACAAGCCACCCAGUGGGACAGUCAUGCAUGUACUGCUGCUGAGAACAUGUUAAGCUUGUAUGACAUAUUGACCUCAAAUAUGUGGUGAAUUUCUGUUAUUACUCAUCAUCUUUGGAAUUUGUUAAGCACAGCAGUAUUAAAGUGACCUAAUGUUCUGAGCUGAACACUAAAGAUGUUGCUACUCUCCAUUGCUUCCAUUGGUCACUAUCUUGUGUAUAAUAAAGUAUGUUCUAAAAUAA